rnacentral:lncRNA from 1 species
UAUUCUUGGUGUUGGAUGGAAUUUAUUGAGUUUUGAGCGGUCUUUUGAGAGUGCACGGUUGCACAUUGUGGUUUUGAAUUGAUGAAGGAGUAUUGUUACUGGGAGGAAGCAUUAUAGUGUUUCUUAGUGUUUUCGUGGUUCGGAAUAUAGUUAAUUGUGUGACCCUAAUAAGUGAAACUUAUGCGCUUAGUUUUUCCCUGUGUUUGAAUUUUCCUAUAUAAGUUUAU